rnacentral:tRNA from 1 species
GGGGGUAUAGCUCAGCUGGGAGAGCGCUUGCAUGGCAUGCAAGAGGUCAGCGGUUCGAUCCCGCU